rnacentral:rRNA from 1 species
UACGGAGGGUGCAAGCGUUAAUCGGAAUUACUGGGCGUAAAGCGCACGCAGGUGGCUGAGUCAGUCGAUUGUGAAAGCCCCGGGCUCAACCUGGGAAUGGCGAUGGAUACUGGCGAGCUAGAGUACGGUAGAGGAGAGUGGAAUUCCCGGUGUAGCAGUGAAAUGCGUAGAGAUCGGGAGGAACAUCAGUUGCGAAGGCGGCUCUCUGGACCAGUACUGACGCUGAGGCACGAAAGCGUGGGGAGCAAACAGG